UAGUCAUACGCUCGACUCAAAGAUUAAGCCAUGCAUGUUUAAGUAUGAGCACAGUAUAGUGUGAAACCGCGAAUGGCUCAGUAAAUCGGUUGUGGUCUCUUGGAUCUGAAUAAAGUUUACUUGGAUAUCUGUGGUAAUUCUAGAGCUAAUACAUGCCUAUCUAAGCUUCGUCCUCGUGAGAGAACGGAGUGCAUUGAUUAGAUCAAGACCAGCGGGGGUAGGUGAGAUGGCUUUCUUUCGGGGAGUUGUUUCGUUUUAUGUCUGCCCCCUUUAUAACUGGUGACUCUGAAUAACCACGCAGAUCGCAUGGCCUUGUGCCGGUGACAGUUCGAUUGAGUGUCUGAACUAUCAGCUUGACGGUAGGUUACGAGCCUACCGUGGCUGUGACGGCUGACGGGGAAUCUGGGUUCGAUUCCGGAGAGGCAGCCUGAGAAACGGCUACCACAUCCAAGGAAGGCAGCAGACGCGCAAAUUACCCAAUCCCAGCACGGGGAGGUAGUGACGAAAAAUAACGGUGCAGUGCUCGUCAGAGUUUCUGUAAUUGGAAUGAGUCAGAUCUAAAUCCUCGAACGAGGAUCAAUUGGAGGGCAAGUCUGGUGCCAGCAGCCGCGGUAAUUCCAGCUCCAAGAGCGCAUAUUAAAGUUGUUGCGGUUAAAACGCUCGUAGUGAUAAGUCGGUGCCGGUUUGUUCGGUCCGCGCGAGUUUCGCGGUUACUGUUCUGACCGGUACGGAAUGCCCCGGUCGCCUACUGAUUCCCUUCAACAGGUGUUAGUUGGUGGCGGGCACGUUUACUUUGAGAAAACCAGUGUGCUUAAAGGGUGGCACUUUCUAAUGAAUGCUUGAAUGUUGUUGCAUGGAAUAAUGGAAUAGGACCUUGGCUCAAUUUUGUUGGUUUCUUGGGAGCUAAGGUAAUGAUAAAUGGGAGUAGUGACGGGGGCAUUCGUACUGCGGCGCGAGAGGUGAAAUUCUUGGACCGCCGCGGGACGCACUGAGGCGAAGGCGUUUGUCAAGAACGCUUCCAUCAAUCAAGAGCGAAAGCUAGAGGUUCGAAGGCGAUCAGAUACCGCCCUAGUUCUAGCCAUAAACGAUGCCGACCGCUGAUCCGCCGUGGUUACUUUAUUGACCCGGCGGGACGACUGUGGGAAACCAGAGUCUUUGGGUUCCGGGGGAAGUAUGGUCGCAAGGCUGGAACUUAAAGGCAUUGACGGAAAGGCACCACCAGGAGUGGGGCCUGCGGCUUAAUUUGACUCAACACGGGAAACCCUACCAGGCCCGGACACCGGAAGGAUUGACAGAUUGAGGGCUCUUUCUUGAUUCGGUGGGUGGUGGUGCAUGGCCGUUCUUAGUUCGUGGAGUGAUCUGUCUGGUUAAUUCCGAUAACGAACGAGGCUCCAACCUACUAACUAGGGUGUUUUAGUUCGAGGUGCAUUAAUCGGCAGGCCAUUCUUCAUGUUUGGUACUGUACGAAAACUCGGCCGUACUUCUUAGGGGGACGAGUAGCUUUCAGCUGCACGAAACGGAGCAAUAACAGGUCUGUGAUGCCCUCAGAUGUCCUGGGCUGCACGCGCGCCACAAUGGAGGUCUCAGCGCGUUCUCCCCGCCCUUGAGGGCUGGGUAAUCGCUGAAAGUCCGCUUCUUAGUGGGGAUAGGGGACUGAAAUGUUCCCUUGCACAAGGAAUUCCUAGUAGGCGCCUCUCACUAAUCGGGGACGAUUGCGUCCCUGCCCUUUGUACACACCGCCCGUCGCUACUACCGAUUGAAUGGUCCAGUGAGGCCUUUGGACUGUCUUGUGCUGAUGUCUCAUGAUGUUGGUAACAGGAUGGAAAUCUGUCCAAACUUGAUCGUUUAGAGGAAGUAAAAGUCGUAACAAGGUUUCUGUAG
rnacentral:rRNA from 1 species